rnacentral:rRNA from 1 species
UACGUAGGGUGCGAGCGUUAAUCGGAAUUACUGGGCGUAAAGCGUGCGCAGGCGGUUUUGUAAGCCAGAUGUGAAAGCCCCGGGCUUAACCUGGGAAUGGCAUUUGGGACUGCAAGGCUUGAGUGCGGCAGAGGAGACUGGAAUUCCUGGUGUAGCAGUGAAAUGCGUAGAGAUGUGGAGGAACACCGAUGGCGAAGGCAGCCCCCUGGGCCAAAACUGACGCUCAGGCACGAAAGCGUGGGGAGCAAACAGG